rnacentral:rRNA from 1 species
GAUGAACGCUAGCGGCAGGCUUAAUACAUGCAAGUCGUGGGGCAGCAGGACUGUAGCAAUACAGUUGCUGGCGACCGGCAAACGGGUGCGGAACACGUACGCAACUUACCCUGAACUGGGGGAUAGCCCGGGGAAACCCGGAUUAAUACCCCGUAAUAUAAUGGAGUGGCAUCACUUUAUUAUUAAAGCUCCGGCGGUUCGGGAUGGGCGUGCGGCUGAUUAGGUAGUUGGUUGAGGUAACGGCUCACCAAGCCUACGAUCAGUAACUGGUGUGAGAGCAGGACCAGUGGCACGGGCACUGAGACACGAGCCCGACUCCUGCGGGAAGCAGGAGUAAGGAAUAUUGGGAAGUGGAGGCAACUCUGACCCAGCCAGGCCGCGUGGAGGAUGAAGGCCCUCUGGGUUGUAAACUGCUUUUAUAGGGGACGAAACCUGUGUAUUCUUACGCAGUUGACGGUACCCUAGGAAUAAGCACCGGCUAACUCCGUG